UAGGCGUAAAUGAUGCGAGUUAAGUGUGGGGGCGAUCUACGAGAUGGCCCUGUGCUGUAGGGUAGCCGUUAAACUCGCUGCCUGGGGAGGUACGGUCGCAAGGCUGAAACUUAAAGGAAUUGGCGGGGGGAGGCACCACAACGGGUGGAGCUUGCGGUUUAAUUGGAUUCAACGCCGGAAAUCUUACCGGGACCGACAGCAACAUGAAGGCCAGGCUGAAGACUUUGCCGGAUUAGCUGAGAGGAGGUGCAUGGCGUAGACGUCU
rnacentral:rRNA from 1 species